rnacentral:rRNA from 1 species
CAUAGCCUUUAGCAAUAUUAGUAUUAAAGGUACUGCCUGCCCAGUGAAACUAGUUUUAAACGGCCGCGGUAUUCUAACCGUGCAAAGGUAGCGUAAUCACUUGUCUUCUAAAUAAAGACUAGUAUGAACGGCUAAAUGAGGACUUAUCUGUCUCCUACACCCCAUCAAUGAAACUGAUCUUUCGGUCCAAAAGCCGAAAUAGCCACACAAGACGAGAAGACCCUGUGGAGCUUAAAACACACUACUACUAAAUCAAAAGAUAACUAGUAUUUGUUUUGAGUUGGGGCGACUUCGGAAUAAAACAAAACUUCCGAGCACAGAACCACAAUUCUUAAUCAAGGCCCACACGCCUAAACACAAAUGACCCAGUCAAACUGAUCAACGAACCAAGUUACCCCAGGGAUAACAGCGCUAUCUUCUUCAAGAGUUCAUAUCGACAAGAAGGUUUACGACCUCGAUGUUGGAUCAGGACACCCUAAUGGUGCAGCCGCUAUAAAG